UCGUCAGCUCGUGUCGUGAGAUGUUGGGUUAAGUCCCGCAACGAGCGCAACCCUUGUUAUUAGUUGCCAGCAUUAAGUUGGGCACUCUAAUGAGACUGCCGGUGACAAACCGGAGGAAGGUGGGGAUGACGUCAAGUCAUCAUGCCCCUUAUGACCUGGGCUACACACGUGCUACAAUGGGCAGUACAACGAGAAGCAAGCCUGCGAAGGCAAGCGAAUCUCUGAAAGCUGUUCUCAGUUCGGACUGCAGUCUGCAACUCGACUGCACGAAGCUGGAAUCGCUAGUAAUCGCGGAUCAGCACGCCGCGGUGAAUACGUUCCCGGGCCUUGUACACACCGCCCGUCACACCAUGGGAGUCUGCAAUGCCCAAAGCCGGUGGCCUAACCUUCGGGAAGGAGCCGUCUAAGGCAGGGCAAGAUGACUGGGGUGAAGUCGUAACAAGGUAGCC
rnacentral:rRNA from 1 species